GUGUUUCUGUUCCUGUGGAGUGCAGCUGAAAUGACCGCUACUGCUCCUUCACAGUAUAUUUACAUGAGCUUCCUGUGGACAUCAGCACCAUUUAAAAUUAAGUUUCAUUUCACUUCUUCUAGGCUGGAACACAGAUGUGGGGCUGGAAGUGGAGCAGCCCCUUUUAGCCAUGAGGCCCAAAGCCACAUGCUAAGGAUGGUGAAGCAGGGGAUAGAAAGAGCCUGUGUCUUUGCUGACUUCCUUAAGCCACGGCACCAGCCUGGGCCUGCCCUACUCUGGACAUCUAAAUGUCAGGAGCUAAGAAUCAAGUCAGUCUAGAGGUGUUCGUUGCCAUGUGGAGAGAUCCUUCCCAAGAAGAAAGAUGCUACAAAGUGUCCUGGAAAUCCUCUUUGCCCAUCCAGAUCCACCCUCCCUAGCCUGCUCUGUACCUCAGGAAGCUGCUUUUCAUGGUUCACAUAAACCAGGCUCCUGUACCCUCCAGAUAGGUCCAUCCUAUGGG
rnacentral:lncRNA from 10 species